rnacentral:rRNA from 1 species
UUAGUCCUACGGGGGGCAGCAGUAGGGAAUCUUCCACAAUGGACGAACGUCUGAUGGAGCAACGCCGCGUGAGUGAAGAAGGGUUUCGGCUCGUAAAGCUCUGUUGGUAGUGAAGAAAGAUAGAGGUAGUAACUGGCCUUUAUUUGACGGUAAUUACUUAGAAAGUCCCGGCUAACUACGUGCCAGCAGCCGCGGUAAUACGUCGGUGGCAAGCGUUGUCCGGAUUUAUUGGGCGU